rnacentral:rRNA from 1 species
AUGUCGGUGUUCUUAUUUCAGAAGUCUGCUCUGCACAAGUGCAACAUGGCUGGAAAACCUGCUGUUGUUACUUGUAUUGUGGACAGUAUGACGGACAACCUAAGGCCUACUCGUGCAGAUGCAACUGAUGUGGCAAAUGCGGUGCUCGAUGGUAGUGAUGCCAUUCUCCUUGGUGCUGAGUCUCUCCGUGGGUUGUAUCCAGUUGAGACUAUUUCAACGGUAGGCAGAAUUUGUUCUAAGGCUGAGAAGGUCUUCAACCAGGAUUUGUACUUCAAGCAAACCAUGAAAUACGUGGGAGAACCCAUGAUCCACUUGGAGUCUAUUGCUUCCUCUACAGUGCGGGCUGCUAUUAAAGUUAAGGCUUUGGUCAUCAUUUGCUUCACCUCAUCUGAAUAG